UACGUAGGGUCCAAGCGUUGUUCGGAAUUACUGGGCGUAAAGCGCGCGUAGGCGGGUUUGUAUGUCGAUUGUGAAAUCCCCGGGCUCAACCUGGGAACUGCAGUCGAAACUGCAAAUCUUGAAUGUCUGAGAAGGAUGGCGGAAUUCCCGGUGUAGUAGUGAAAUACGUAGAUAUCGGGAAAGAACACCUGAGGCGAAGGCGGCUAUCUGGGCGGUACAUUACGCUAAGGCGCGGAAAGCGUGGGAGCAACAGGAUU
rnacentral:rRNA from 1 species